rnacentral:tRNA from 1 species
CGUAGCUCAGCUGGAUAGAGCAACGGCCUUCUAAGCCGUGGGUAGGGGGUUCGAAUCCCUUCGG